GGGGGUGGAAAUGGGAUUUAGGAGCCUUCAUCGCAGGGGUGCCUGUGCAGCCUGUCCUCAUCCGCUACCCCAACAGUCUGGUGAGUCUUAGUCCAAGAAAGAGUGGAAAGGGGGAGCACAAAUCCACCCCAAAUGGAAAUAAGUGAAAACUGUUGGUGCUUUAAUGGGAUGUGCAUUGGGGGGUGUGACCAGAGGUGGGAUCAGGCCCUCUGUUCAAAGGUGAUUGGCCAGUUCCAGGGGGAAAAAGUAAUGCUCUUAUGCCCUCACCUGUGUUUCUCCCAUAGGACACCACCAGCUGGGCAUGGAGGGGUCCUGGAGUACUCAAAGUCCUCUGGCUCACAGCCUCUCAGCCCUGCAGCAUUGUGGAUGUGGAGGUAUGGCUCCCAUGGGGGCGGUGGGAGAAGUACAUCUCAGACUCCUGAAACCUUGGGAAAAGAGGGUGGGAGUGGUCAUACCUCACUUUGAGGUUCUGAUAAGAAUUGUGUGUGUCUGUGUUUCAGUUCCUUCCUGUGUAUCACCCCAGCCCUGAGGAGAGCAGGGACCCCACCCUCUAUGCCAACAAUGUUCAGAGGGUCAU
rnacentral:sRNA from 1 species